CCGGGUCUCCAAAUACCGUUGUUUUCUCUACCCGAUUUUUGCCCGGGACAAUGAGCUGUGUGUCCACACACUCUCACUAGGGGCGCAUGUACUCUCGAUAUUUCUGUCUCAGACAUCAGGAAAAAACACACGCGUCAAGCGAGUAAUUUCAAAAGUGAACUCUCGUUAGUACUUCCAUUCCAAGUUUUACAAACUAUUCAAUUAUGGCAAACUUCAUUCCGGUACUGGAUGUUGCAACAAAUUUGCAGAGAAAGCAAUUUGCUGAGAAAUAUUUGUGUUUACAAGAAAAGUUUUGAACUAAGGCUGCCUUUGUUGACGAACAACGUUUUUCAUUUGACAUUGAUGGUCGAAUUAGUUUAUAUUCUGGCAGUCAUGGAAAUAACAUACCUAACACAGUCCCUGUAUGGAGUUGCAUUGCUGUUGACAAUUUGCCAAAUGUUAUCAAGAAACUCAACUGCAGACUCGAUACCACCCAGUACAAAGAAUUGCUGGAUAGUCAUGUACUUCCAUUCUGUGAUGGGCUGCAGAUAGUUCACGAUUACUUCCCAGUCCACUAUGCUUCAUCAGUUAAGGAGUACAUCAAGUCAAAUGCUCUCAACGUUUUGCCUGACUGGCCAAGGAAAUCUGGAGACUUGAUGCCUCUUGAAAAUGUUUGGAGAGAAAUGGUUUAUCGAUUUGAAGCUGAAGGAAUAUUUGCUAAUACUGUUCAUGAACUAUGGACUGCCAUUGAACAAGUUUUUAAUGUUAUGAAUCGUGGUGGUUAUUUCAUUGAAGUAAUCCUUGACACUCGUAAUAAAUUACGUAGAUUGUUUGAGAAUGAUGGCGACUGGGUUGCUGUUAACUAAGUUACUAUGUAUAACAUUCAUAACAAUAAAAUUAAACAUUCAUGUUUGUUCAGGAAAA